AUUGAACGCUGGCGGCAUGCCUUACACAUGCAAGUCGAGCGGCAGCGCGGGGGCAACCCUGGCGGCGAGCGGCGAACGGGUGAGUAAUACAUCGGAACGUGUCCAGUAGCGGGGGAUAACCUGUCGAAAGAUAGGCUAAUACCGCGUACGACCUACGGGUGAAAGCGGGGGACCGCAAGGCCUCGCACUAUUGGAGCGGCCGAUGUCGGAUUAGCUAGUUGGCGGGGUAACGGCCCACCAAGGCGACGAUCCGUAGCUGGUCUGAGAGGACGACCAGCCACACUGGGACUGAGACACGGCCCAGACUCCUACGGGAGGCAGCA
rnacentral:rRNA from 1 species